rnacentral:tRNA from 1 species
GUCCCCGUAGUGCAAUGGAUAGCGCGUUGGACUUCUAAUCCAAAGGUUGUGGGUUCGAAUCUUACCUGGGAUG